UACGGAGGAUGCGAGCGAUAUCCGGAUUUAUUGGGUUUAAAGGGUGCGCAGGCGGCGUGUCAAGUCAGCGGUAAAAUGUCGGGGCUCAACCCCGGCCGGCCGUUGAAACUGGCGUGCUCGAGUUGGAGAGAAGUAUGCGGAAUUCGUGGUGUAGCGGUGAAAUGCAUAGAUAUCACGAAGAACCCCGAUUGCGAAGGCAGCAUACCGGCUCCACACUGACGCUGAGGCACGAAAGCGUGGGUAUCGAACAGG
rnacentral:rRNA from 1 species